UCCGUAGGUGAAUAAUUAAGUCAGAGGUGAAAUCCUGCAGCUCAACUGUAGAAUUGCCUUUGAUACUGGUUAUCUUGAGUUAUUAUGAAGUAGUUAGAAUAUGUAGUGUAGCGGUGAAAUGCAUAGAUAUUACAUAGAAUACCAAUUGCGAAGGCAGAUUACUAAUAAUCAACUGACACUGAUGGACGAAAGCGUGGGGAGCGAACAGGAUUAGAUACCCUGGUAGUC
rnacentral:rRNA from 1 species